UACCAGCACCCCGAGUGGUCGGGACGUUUAUUGGGCCUAAAGCAUCCGUAGCCGGUUCUGCAAGUCUUCCGUUAAAUCCACCUGCUUAACAGAUGGGCCGCGGAAGAUACUAUAGAGCUAGGAGGCGGGAGAGGCAAGCGGUACUCGAUGGGUAGGGGUAAAAUCCGUUGAUCCAUUGAAGACCACCAGUGGCGAAGGCGGCUUGCCAGAACGCGCUCGACGGUGACGGGAUGAAAGCUGGGGGAGCAAACCGG
rnacentral:rRNA from 1 species